UGUCUGAGCGUUGACAGUCUCUGCUGAAACUCUAGACCCGAAACGCAAACGCUUGUCAACACAAGAGGGGGGCACGCAACUAAGCAACAACAUCACGAUUGAUGGCUGUCACACAAAUUUUGACAUAACAAAUGUCAAUUGAGGCGACAGCGGAAUUUCCUGUGCAGAUAAAGCAACCAAGAUAGACAGAUAUAUAAUAUAUAUAUAUAUGUAUAUAUAUAUAUAUAUAUAGACAGAUAGAAAAGAUUUUGUCAUCGUGUUUGCCUACAAAAAGAGCGGACCCCAUCGGGGCCCAUCGAUUAUUGUACUUUGGGGGGAGUGUUUCUGAAACAUGUGUCUCCGAGUUCUUGGGAAACGAAACUGCUUUCGGUUUUUGAAUAAAUUACACAGAAUGUAACAGA